rnacentral:lncRNA from 1 species
AUUUCUUCCAUCUCUAUCUCACGCACAGAACACACAUACGCUAAUCUGUUUUAUUUAAUCAAAAUAUAUUUAAUGGGAUAUUUGACAUGUUAGAGUGCUGCUGGUGAGAAGGAAUCCCAUCACUUUAAGAUCAAUGCAUUUCUAGUGGGCCAUCUAAGAAAGGUAGCGGAAAGAUUCCAUCCCACUCACAAUAGCGAAAAGAAAAGAAAAGACAGAAAAAAGCCUAAGAGCAAUGCAUAAUUCUUUAAUCAUAAUAAUUAUUUGAAGCACAUGGAAGG